GGUUCAUAGUGGGAUUUUUUGCUGUUUGGCCCGCGAAUUGCUCCCGAAGGAGAACGAUGCCAGGGAAGCAAGUGAGAC
rnacentral:ncRNA from 1 species